AGAGUUUGAUCAUGGCUCAGGACGAACGCUGGCGGCGUGCCUAACACAUGCAAGUCGAACGGAACUGUUUUAAAAGAUUUCUUCGGAAUGAAUUUGAUUUAGUUUAGUGGCGGACGGGUGAGUAACGCGUGAGUAACCUGCCUUCAAGAGGGGGAUAACAUUCUGAAAAGAAUGCUAAUACCGCAUGACAUAUCGGAACCACAUGGUUUUGAUAUCAAAGAUUUUAUCGCUUGAAGAUGGACUCGCGUCCGAUUAGUUAGUUGGUGAGGUAACGGCUCACCAAGACCGCGAUCGGUAGCCGGACUGAGAGGUUGAACGGCCACAUUGGGACUGAGACACGGCCCAGACUCCUACGGGAGGCAGCAGUGGGGGAUAUUGCGCAAUGGGGGCAACCCUGACGCAGCAACGCCGCGUGAAGGAUGAAGGUUUUCGGAUUGUAAACUUCUUUUAUUAAGGACGAAAAUUGACGGUACUUAAUGAAUAAGCUCCGGCUAACUACGUGCCAGCAGCCGCGGUAAUACGUAGGGAGCAAGCGCUGUCCGGAUUUACUGGGUGUAAAGGGUGCGUAGGCGGCUUUGCAAGUCAGAUGUGAAAUCUAUGGGCUCAACCCAUAAACUGCAUUUGAAACUGUAGAGCUUGAGUGAAGUAGAGGCAGGCGGAAUUCCCCGUGUAGCGGUGAAAUGCGUAGAUAUUAGGAGGAACACCAGUGGCGAAGGCGGCCUGCUGGGCUUUAACUGACGCUGAGGCACGAAAGCGUGGGUAGCAAACAGGAUUAGAUACCCUGGUAGU
rnacentral:rRNA from 1 species